rnacentral:rRNA from 1 species
UACGAAGGGGGCUAGCGUUGCUCGGAAUCACUGGGCGUAAAGGGUGCGUAGGCGGGUCUUUAAGUCAGGGGUGAAAUCCUGGAGCUCAACUCCAGAACUGCCUUUGAUACUGAAGCUCUUGAGUUCGGGAGAGGUGAGUGGAACUGCGAGUGUAGAGGUGAAAUUCGUAGAUAUUCGCAAGAACACCAGUGGCGAAGGCGGCUCACUGGCCCGAUACUGACGCUGAGGCACGAAAGCGUGGGGAGCAAACAGG